GCUUCUAUAGUGAAGCCAUUUCACCUAGCCUUUUCAAAGCUAAAACGUAUUUCUACUAGAAGCU
rnacentral:tRNA from 1 species